ACGGAAGGCAGCAGCUAAGAAUAUUCCGCAAUGGACGAAAGUCUGACGGAGCGACGCCGCGUGGAUGAUGAAGGUCGGAAGAUUGUAAAAUCCUUUUAUAACUGAGGCAUAAGUACUGUGAGAGAAACGCAGAAUGGUGACUGUAGGUUAUGAAUAAGCAACGGCUAAUUACGUGCCAGCAGCCGCGGUAACACGUAAGUUGCGAGCGUUGUUCGGAAUUAUUGGGCGUAAAGGGCAUGUAGGCGGUUUUGCAAGCUUGGUGUGAAAUCUCGGAGCUCAAGUCCGAAAUUGCGUUGAGAACUGCAUAACUGGAGUCACUGUGGGGCAAUCAGAAUUCCUGGUGUAGGGGUGAAAUCUGUAGAUAUCAGGAAGAAUACCAAAGGCGAAGGCAGGUUACCAGCAGAUGACUGACGCUAAGGUGCGAAGGUGCGGGGAGCAAACAGGAUUAGAUACCCUGGUA
rnacentral:rRNA from 1 species